rnacentral:rRNA from 1 species
UUAAGCGACUAAGCGUACACGGUGGAUGCCCUGGCAGUCAGAGGCGAUGAAGGACGUGCUAAUCUGCGAUAAGCGUCGGUGAGGUGAUAUGAACCGUUAUAACCGGCGAUUUCCGAAUGGGGAAACCCAGUGUGUUUCGACACACUAUCAUUAACUGAAUCCAUAGGUUAAUGAGGCGAACCGGGGGAACUGAAACAUCUAAGUACCCCGAGGAAAAGAAAUCAACCGAGAUUCCCCCAGUAGCGGCGAGCGAACGGGGAGGAGCCCAGAGCCUGAAUCAGUGUGUGUGUUAGUGGAAGCGUCUGGAAAGGCGCGCGAUACAGGGUGACAGCCCCGUACACAAAAAUGCACAUAUUGUGAGCUCGAUGAGUAGGGCGGGACACGUGGUAUCCUGUCUGAAUAUGGGGGGACCAUCCUCCAAGGCUAAAUACUCCUGACUGACCGAUAGUGAACCAGUACCGUGAGGGAAAGGCGAAAAGAACCCCGGCGAGGGGAGUGAAAAAGAACCUGAAACCGUGUACGUACAAGCAGUGGGAGCCUCUUAAUGGGGUGACUGCGUACCUUUUGUAUAAUGGGUCAGCGACUUAUAUUCUGUAGCAAGGUUAACCGAAUAGGGGAGCCGAAGGGAAACCGAGUCUUAACUGGGCGUUAAGUUGCAGGGUAUAGACCCGAAACCCGGUGAUCUAGCCAUGGGCAGGUUGAAGGUUGGGUAACACUAACUGGAGGACCGAACCGACUAAUGUUGAAAAAUUAGCGGAUGACUUGUGGCUGGGGGUGAAAGGCCAAUCAAACCGGGAGAUAGCUGGUUCUCCCCGAAAGCUAUUUAGGUAGCGCCUCGUGAAUUCAUCUCCGGGGGUAGAGCACUGUUUCGGCAAGGGGGUCAUCCCGACUUACCAACCCGAUGCAAACUGCGAAUACCGGAGAAUGUUAUCACGGGAGACACACGGCGGGUGCUAACGUCCGUCGUGAAGAGGGAAACAACCCAGACCGCCAGCUAAGGUCCCAAAGUCAUGGUUAAGUGGGAAACGAUGUGGGAAGGCCCAGACAGCCAGGAUGUUGGCUUAGAAGCAGCCAUCAUUUAAAGAAAGCGUAAUAGCUCACUGGUCGAGUCGGCCUGCGCGGAAGAUGUAACGGGGCUAAACCAUGCACCGAAGCUGCGGCAGCGACACUAUGUGUUGUUGGGUAGGGGAGCGUUCUGUAAGCCUGUGAAGGUGUGCUGUGAGGCAUGCUGGAGGUAUCAGAAGUGCGAAUGCUGACAUAAGUAACGAUAAAGCGGGUGAAAAGCCCGCUCGCCGGAAGACCAAGGGUUCCUGUCCAACGUUAAUCGGGGCAGGGUGAGUCGACCCCUAAGGCGAGGCCGAAAGGCGUAGUCGAUGGGAAACAGGUUAAUAUUCCUGUACUUGGUGUUACUGCGAAGGGGGGACGGAGAAGGCUAUGUUGGCCGGGCGACGGUUGUCCCGGUUUAAGCGUGUAGGCUGGUUUUCCAGGCAAAUCCGGAAAACCAAGGCUGAGGCGUGAUGACGAGGCACUACGGUGCUGAAGCGACAAAUGCCCUGCUUCCAGGAAAAGCCUCUAAGCAUCAGGUAACAUCAAAUCGUACCCCAAACCGACACAGGUGGUCAGGUAGAGAAUACCAAGGCGCUUGAGAGAACUCGGGUGAAGGAACUAGGCAAAAUGGUGCCGUAACUUCGGGAGAAGGCACGCUGAUAUGUAGGUGAAGCGACUUGCUCGUGGAGCUGAAAUCAGUCGAAGAUACCAGCUGGCUGCAACUGUUUAUUAAAAACACAGCACUGUGCAAACACGAAAGUGGACGUAUACGGUGUGACGCCUGCCCGGUGCCGGAAGGUUAAUUGAUGGGGUUAGCGGUAACGCGAAGCUCUUGAUCGAAGCCCCGGUAAACGGCGGCCGUAACUAUAACGGUCCUAAGGUAGCGAAAUUCCUUGUCGGGUAAGUUCCGACCUGCACGAAUGGCGUAAUGAUGGCCAGGCUGUCUCCACCCGAGACUCAGUGAAAUUGAACUCGCUGUGAAGAUGCAGUGUACCCGCGGCAAGACGGAAAGACCCCGUGAACCUUUACUAUAGCUUGACACUGAACAUUGAGCCUUGAUGUGUAGGAUAGGUGGGAGGCUUUGAAGUGUGGACGCCAGUCUGCAUGGAGCCGACCUUGAAAUACCACCCUUUAAUGUUUGAUGUUCUAACGUGGGCCCCUAAUCGGGGUUGCGGACAGUGUCUGGUGGGUAGUUUGACUGGGGCGGUCUCCUCCUAAAGAGUAACGGAGGAGCACGAAGGUUGGCUAAUCCUGGUCGGACAUCAGGAGGUUAGUGCAAUGGCAUAAGCCAGCUUGACUGCGAGCGUGACGGCGCGAGCAGGUGCGAAAGCAGGUCAUAGUGAUCCGGUGGUUCUGAAUGGAAGGGCCAUCGCUCAACGGAUAAAAGGUACUCCGGGGAUAACAGGCUGAUACCGCCCAAGAGUUCAUAUCGACGGCGGUGUUUGGCAC